rnacentral:rRNA from 1 species
GAUGAACGCUGGCGGCGUGCUUAACACAUGCAAGUCGAACGGAAAGGCCCAAGCUUUCUUGGGUACUCGAGUGGCGAACGGGUGAGUAACACGUGGGUGAUCUGCCCUUCACUUCGGGAUAAGCCUGGGAAACUGGGGCUAAUACCGGAUAGGAUCUCUUCUUGGAUGUUGUUGUGGAAAGUUUUUUCGGUUUGGUAUGAGCUCGCGACCUAUCAGCUUGUUGGUGGGGUCGUGGCCUAGCAAGGCGUCGACGGGUAGCCGGCAUGCGAGGGUGUACGGCCACAUUGGGCCUGAGAGGCGGCCAACAGUCGGAAGGGAGGCAGAAGUGGCGAAUAUCGGACGAAGGGAGGAAGCCUGAGGCAGCGAGGCCGCGUGGGGGAUGAAGGCUUUCGGGUUGUAAACUCAUUUCGCUAGGGAAGAAGCGUUUUUGUGACGGUACCUGGAGAAGAAGCACCGGCUAACUACGUG